CUCCUUCUGUCCUCGAGGGGAUCCUAAACCAACAGGAAUUACCGACAAUUGCAGAUUGCCAAUUUCUCCGAAUUGCCUUUAUAGAUCACCAAAUUCUUUUACACAAUAAAAGUACGCACAAAAAAAAACAGCGACCACUAAAUUUGACGAGAAGAUCGGAGAAAAAAUUAAAAAUUCAUUUUAUU